CAGGAAGCCGCGAUAACAGCGGAGGACAGUGAGGCCGGUUCCUUAGCAACGGGGGAACGGAGGACGAAGAUGCAGUAGCCCCCACCACCCCCACCACCAUCACUUAUGAUUGACACCCCUGCCUCACAGAUGUUUAUAAAGGAGAAAUUGCUGAGAACUGGUCCACCAUAUAUCUGCACAGGAUAUGUAAAAAUGUUUUUGUUGCAGGUAAUAUUGCAAUGACUUGAAGACUGGAUGCAGCGCCUCUUAUGUUACAGAGAGAAGAAGUUGUGCAGCAGGUGGUGGGACAUUACACAUUGGAGGAAUAUCUCUUUUCAAUGUCCAACAGUAAUUGGCCGGCAUGUUUGGGCUCUAAUUGCCUUGAUAACGCGAUUCCAUGAUGGAUAUCUAAAUGUGAAGAAAAUGUAUCUUCAGCGACAUAUUGCAACCAAGAGAUUUAUAAUUCUGAAUGAAUUCCUUAAAGAG